rnacentral:rRNA from 1 species
GACGGAGGGUGCUAGCGUUGUUCGGAAUGACUGGGCGUAAAGGGCGCGUAGGCGGCUCGUGAAGUCGGGUGUGAAAGCCCGGGGCUCAACCCCGGAACGGCAUCCGAUACUGGCGGGCUUGAGACCGGGAGAGGAGGGUGGAAUACCCAGUGUAGAGGUGAAAUUCGUAGAUAUUGGGUGGAACACCAGUGGCGAAGGCGGCUCACUGGCCCGGUACUGACGCUGAGGUGCGAAAGCGUGGGGAGCAAACAGG